GUGAUCUAGGGAUUGUAUGAGAGCAUGUUGACUUAAUUCAUAGGACUGAGGUGAAGUGGACAUAGCCUUGCAGCGAUGGUCAUACAUGACUGAUCUAGCACACCACAGUCCUUUGACAACUGCAUUGAGGAAUUUCAGCGAUGAGCCUCUUGAGAACGAGAAUGACAUCAAAGUUCAAAUUUAUAAAGAAGGAAACCUGCUAAAUCCUUCUCAACUAAAGAAGGACUAUGAGGAUUGGAUAGUUCAGAUGCAUAGUCAAUAUGAUGAUGAU